rnacentral:rRNA from 1 species
AACGAUGAACCACUUCGGUGGGGAUUAGUGGCGAACGGGUGAGUAACACGUGGGCAAUCUGCCCUUCACUCUGGGACAAGCCCUGGAAACGGGGUCUAAUACCGGAUACAACCGCUGACCGCAUGGUCGGGCGGUGGAAAGCUCCGGCGGUGAAGGAUGAGCCCGCGGCCUAUCAGCUUGUUGGUGAGGUAAUGGCUCACCAAGGCGACGACGGGUAGCCGGCCUGAGAGGGCGACCGGCCACACUGGGACUGAGACACGGCCCAGACUCCUACGGGAGGCAGCAGUGGGGAAUAUUGCACAAUGGGCGAAAGCCUGAUGCAGCGACGCCGCGUGAGGGAUGACGGCCUUCGGGUUGUAAACCUCUUUCAGCAGGGAAGAAGCGAAAGUGACGGUACCUGCAGAAGAAGCGCCGGCUAACUACGUGCCAGCAGCCGCGGUAAUACGUAGGGCGCAAGCGUUGUCCGGAAUUAUUGGGCGUAAAGAGCUCGUAGGCGGCUUGUCACGUCGGUUGUGAAAGCCCGAGGCUUAACCUCGGGUCUGCAGUCGAUACGGGCAGGCUAGAGUGUGGUAGGGGAGAUCGGAAUUCCUGGUGUAGCGGUGAAAUGCGCAGAUAUCAGGAGGAACACCGGUGGCGAAGGCGGAUCUCUGGGCCAUUACUGACGCUGAGGAGCGAAAGCGUGGGGAGCGAACAGGAUUAGAUACCCUGGUAGUCCACGCCGUAAACGGUGGGAACUAGGUGUUGGCGACAU